rnacentral:rRNA from 1 species
AUGAAUGCGCAGAAAUCAUUUGGUGCUCGUUUUGGAUUAGAGGCUGCUCAGGUAGUGAUAGACCUUGUUCAAGCUAGGAACAAAGACAAGCCUAAGAUAUGUUUAGAAUCUCUUGUAAUUGAUGUCUUGGACUGCAUAGCAAACUCAGCUUUGAAUGCGAAACCUAUUGCUACACCAAAAGUUUCUUCAAGCGAUGUUCAAUCUCUAAACAACUUCUCUUUUGGCAAUAAGUUUAUUUCUAUUCACUCUUUCAUCCUUGAAAGAAACAUUGAAACUAUUGUCGAAAAGCCAUCUCCUCAAGUCCAGCACCCAAUCCCCAAUUUGAAUGAAGCUUCUACUUUUGUUGCUGGUGUUAUUUCGGAUGGGGAUUUUCUCAAUCCAGUAGUAUUAUCUAGUUCAUCUCCAGUUCCUAAGGUGUGUGUUGAGAGUGUGGUGAAUGAAGCUAAUGCGGAAGGUGCAAUUCCAAUGGAUCCUCUAUCUUGUGGAAAAAGUGCUUCUGAUGCUAUAGGUAUAUCCCCUUCAACAAUGCAGUGUCCAAUUCCUGCUAUUGGUUCUUCGCUGAUGCAUUCAGCUGGUCCUGAUAAAAAGUGCGAGCCCAAGGUUGUUGUUACUGAUUUUCAAAAACCAAGUUUUGCUGAAUUCAGUCGCUCUCUUGGUGUUCAAUCACACCCUAAAGUUUUCAUUCAACAGCACAAAGUUAAAGAGGGUGACUCUUCUUUUGGAGGACUAUCGCCUCUGGUUCCUAUUCGUUUGUCGCAGCGGUUCCACAAUGUGGUAGAUGAUGUUGAGUGCUCUUAG